AUGGAUUUGUGGCUGAUUUGGGUUUUCCUUAUUGCUCUUUUAAAAGGUGUCCAGUGUGAGGUGCAGCUGGUGGAGUCUACGGGUGGCCUGGUGAAGCCUGGAGGGUCCCUGAAACUCUCCUGUGUAGCCUCUGGAUUCACCUUCAGUGACUACUGGGUGGGUUGGGUCCGCCAGUCUCCCGGGAAGGGGCUGGAGUGGGUUGGAUAUAUUAAAUAUGAUGGCAGUUACACAAACUAUGCACCAUCCGUGAAGGGCCGGUUCACCAUCUCCAGAGACAAUGCCAAGAACACUCUGUACCUGCAAAUGAACAAUGUGAAGUCUGAGGACACCGCCACUUAUUACUGUGCUAGAUACACAGUGAAUGAUCUCAGUAUGAACCCGGACAUAAACCUCACUGUGAGGCCGCUCACGGCCACCAGACAGCGCACAGCACGCACAGAAUAUAGGUUCAUCCCACAAACUAUAAAGGCAUAA